GGGUGCCCGCUGAGUCCCAUGGUCACAGGCUUCAUCCGCCUGUGAUUUCUAAAAGGGUCCCCGCUUCGCCGUAACGGAAAAGACCCGUUUCGCGCGGAGCUGGUCCCUCCAGUUCAGAGGGAGUCCGCCAUUGCAGAUGGCGCCACCCCGGAAGUCCCAUGCCCCCAUACCUUUCAAACACUCUUAUACUUACUCUAACAUGGCUUUCCCUAAAGAAUUCUGGGGAAUUCAUUUUGUUAAGGGUGCUGAGAGUUGUCAAGAGAGCUACGUUUCCCAGAGUUCCCUAGGAAGAGAGAUUGUUGUCAGAUUACUCUGGGAAUUGUAGCUUUGAGGGGAGAAUACAGUUGUACCUCCACUUACAUAUCCCUCCGCUUACGUAAACUUCAGGAUUCAUAAGCGGCAAACCCAGAAGUAUAUUUCUGGGUUUUUGCCGCGCACGCAUGUGCAGAAGCGCUCUACCGCCACGUGCACAGAAGCGGUCCCUCCGGUUGCGGAAACUUCGGGAUCCGACCGGAGCUCUGGAAAGGAUCCCGUCCACAACCAGAGGUGCCACUGUAUAGGGGCCUACUAGCCACUCUCACCACACUUAACAAACCACAGCUCUCAGGAUUCUUGGCGGGGGCGGGGGAGGAGUAAGGCUAUUUAAAGUGGUAUCAUAGUGUGUUAAGUCUAUGGUGUGGAUGUGACCAAAGUGCCCCCACUUCCUGUUUUCUCCACCUAUUCUGAUCUCUACCUCUACCUCCAGAUCACUUUCCUACCCACACCAGGUCCAAGGGAGACCAGCUGCCGCUCCAUAGGAAGGCAGGCUCCUUUGAACUUAAUAGUUCUCUGAAUAUUAUUAAUAUGCCCCAACUAGAAUUUGGUGUUUGUGUGUCCAAGAUUGGUUAACCGUGGAUUCUUUUUACUGGACCUCUCUCUUUGUUAAAGCUGCAGAUUUUGGUUCCAGAUGUUUGAGCUAUUUUUCAUUUGGCUCACAAACAAGCCACCCAAAACAUUCCACAUAAUGGCAGGGGAAACGGCUUUCCAGAGCGCCUCUGUGAUGCAGAGAGACAGUCACUCAUAUUCCUUCAGGGAGGCUCUUUCCAGAUGGAUAUUUGUCUUCCAAAUUGUUCUGGGAGUCAUGAAAGUGGUGACAAAAAAAUAAUAGGUUUUUCUUCAUUAGGCACCAAAGCAUCUUCUUUUGACAUGGUUUUAUUGGUGUAUUCAUAAGCACUAUGGAUGCAUUAUUCUGGCUUGUUUCUGUCCCAGAUCAAAGUUAUGGGUUUGUCUGUUCAAAUCCAAGAUAGCACUUUUCAAAUCUGCUGGAUUCAUUUGGUUGGGUUGUGGAAGAGGGCACAGUUUUGGCAUUUCCUCUUUGGGAGAUUCGCUUUGCCCUUCCUUUGAUGGCCAUGUGAAAAUAUUUCUCUUCAAGAAGACGCUCGGCCUGCCUGUAGAGUGGCUGUGUGCCCUGCUUGGCAGCCCUUUGUUUGAAGGAGUUAUCUGUUUAAAAGGCUGUCUGGUUUAAGUCUGGUUCAGAGAUAAAGAACCUUAAGAUGUUGGGUGACUGUGAGAAUCUAACACAGGGGUAGGCAACCUAAGGCCCGGGAGCCGGAUGCGGCCCAAUAGCCGUCUCAAUCCGGCCUGCGGACGGUCUGGGAAUCAGCGUGCUUUUGAGUAGAAUGUGUGCUUUUAUUUAAAAUGCAUCUUUCGGUUAUUUGUGGGGCAUAGGAAUUCUUUCAUUAUUUUUUCAAAAUAUAGUCCGGCCCUCCACAUGACUGAAAAAGGUUGCAGACCCCUGAUCUAACAUAAGGCAGCAUGUCUCCUGUCUGGUGGGAGUGUGUGUUAUCAUACGAACAUAAUAAGAGUCCUGCUGAAUCAGGCCAGUGGCCCAUCUGGUCCAGCAUCCUGUUCUCACAGUAGCUGACCAGAUGCCAUUGGGAAGCCCACAACCAGGACCUGAACACAACAGCCCCUACUUGUGAUUCCCAGGAACUGGCAUUCAGAAGCAUUUACUGGUACUGCCUCUGGCAUUGGAGGUAGAACCAUCAAGAUUAGUAGCCAUUGAUAAACCUUGGCUACUAAUCCUGACACCUCAGACCCAAGGGUCAAUGCCGUGCUCCGGGGCUUUCUGUCUGGCCUUUGAUACUCUCCCCAGGCCACUCCCUCCUGAGCCACACCCCUCACCAGCCUUCUUUGCAUCCUCUAGUGUUCUUGCGUGGUUGGAAUUUGUCACUGACCUCUGACACUUUGCUUUCCUGCAUGGAGGAUAGAGAAGGAUGCCUGAGUAUAUAGAACUAGCCUACUAUUCAGAUGUAAAAUUCCCAUCUCUUGCUCUGCCCUCUUUUGCCUCUGGCCCCACCAAACACUGGCAUGUCCCGUUGCUCCCCCCCCCCCAAAAAAAAAGGUUGGCUAGAAGCCCUCUGAGUUUAAAAUGUUUUCUCUCCCACAUCUAUCCUUCAUUACUUGAGGCUGCCGAUAAUUUAGUCUUGCUUUGCAUGUCCUAAAUUCCUUUCAGGGAGGAUUGAAUAAAAAUGCAAUCAAUGAAUGAAUAAACUUAAACAAACUUUAAACAAAUAAGGCUCAACACACAGGGACAGAAGAGUUCUUAGUCAGACUUUACUUAGCCUCAAUCUAUACUCUGUUACUUGAGACUGCUGGUAAUUUUGUCUUGUUUUGCAAUUUGUCAUCCCAUUAGACCAAAUUAGAGUCAGACCUUUCCACCCUCUCCCCCAGCAUCUGGCUUUGUGGUCAUGUAAAUCUCAAAGAGGGAAAUUCCACUUGAAGGUAGUAGUAUGAGACUCGGGCAGUAUAAGUCAUCAGUGAUUCAGCCCGCUCAAUCUGGUUUCUGAAUAGUUUUGGAGGCUUCAAUGCAACAACAAAACCUGACACCCCUCCUUUUAUAAGAAGACAAGGGAAUUAACCCUCUGAGCCAUACUUCUUUGUGAAUACCCGCUGCCACGCAAUCUAGAGGUUGCCUGAAAAUCACACUCAGAAAACAUUGUUGCAAUUUCACCUGUAAACAUGCACUUGGAAGAGAGAUAAAGAAGUAGAGAAAGUGUGUUAAGGGGAAGCCAAUCCAUGGAAAAUCAUAAUCUGAAUCCCAAGUUAUGCAGCCGGUUGAGCAGUUUAUUGUACUGUACUGUGAAAUAAAAUGCUUCUAUUAUUUUCACUGCAAUUGAUUCACCAGUGGAAAUUUUUCUCCAUUUUAAAAUUCCAUCUUUUACUUUCAUUGCUGGACCAGAAAAUCAUGGCUUCUUAAAUCCAAACUAGACUUAUAAAACCAUAGGCCUCCUAUAGGUAUAUGGAUCUUCUAUUGGCUUGACUCGAGCUGUUUCAGUCCCUCAGCUAAAAUGAUGGAGCCCUCUUAAGCUCUACCACAUUGCUGUUCCAAUCAUGUGUUCUGGCAUCUAACCCUAUCUAUAUGCACAUUAUUGUUAUUAUUUAAAGUAUUAAAAAAAUUAUAUUCCACUUUUCUGGCCAAUGCGUGUCCAAAGUGGCAUAGAAUC